GUGCCAGCAGCUGCGGUGAUACGUAGGGUGCGAGCGUUGUCCGGAAUUAUUGGGCGUAGAGGGCUCGUAGGCGGUCUGUCACGUCGGAAGUGAAAACUCGGGGCUUAACCCCGAGCCUGCUUCCGAUACGGGCAGACUAGAGGAAUGCAGGGGAGAAUGGAAUACCUGGUGGAGCGGUGGAAUGCGCAGAUAUCAGGUGGAACACC
rnacentral:rRNA from 1 species